rnacentral:rRNA from 1 species
UACGGGGGGGGCAAGCGUUGUUCGGAAUUACUGGGCGUAAAGGGCUCGUAGGCGGCCAACUAAGUCAUACGUGAAAUCCCUCGGCUUAACCGGGGAACUGCGUCUGAUACUGGAUGGCUUGAGUUCGGGAGAGGUAAGCGGAAUUCCUGGUGUAGCGGUGAAAUGCGUAGAUAUCAGGAGGAACACCUGCGGUGUAGACGGCUUACUGGACCAUAACUGACGCUGAGGCACGAAAGCGUGGGUAGCAAACAGG